rnacentral:rRNA from 1 species
UACGUAGGGUGCAAGCGUUGUCCGGAAUUAUUGGGCGUAAAGAGCUCGUAGGCGGUCUGUCGCGUCUGCUGUGAAAAUCAGGGCUCAAUCCUGGACCUGCAGUGGGUACGGGCAGACUAGAGUGCGGUAGGGAGAUCGGAAUUCCUGGUGUAGCGGUGAAAUGCGCAGAUAUCAGGAGGAACACCGGUGGCGAAGGCGGGUCUCUGGGCCGAUACUGACGCUGAGGAGCGAAAGCGUGGGAGCGAACAGG